rnacentral:rRNA from 1 species
CUACCUGCAGUCGAACGAAGUAUAUUUUCGGAUAUGCUUAGUGGCGGACGGGUGAGUAACNCGUGAACAAUCUGCCCUGUACACAGGAAUAGCCUCGGGAAACUGGGAUUAAAACCGGAUAACACUUUCUGGCCGCAUGGCCGGGAAGUCAAAUUGAUUUAGAGGUACAGGAUGAGUUCGCGUCUGAUUAGCUAGUUGGUGAGGUAACGGCUCACCAAGGCUACGAUCAGUAGCCGGCCUGAGAGGGUGAACGGCCACACUGGAACUGAGACACGGUCCAGACUCCUACGGGAGGCAGCAGUGGGGAAUAUUGCACAAUGGAGGAAACUCUGAUGCAGCGACGCCGCGUGAGUGAAGAAGGUCUUCGGAUCGUAAAACUCUGUCCUUGGUGACGAAAAAAUGACGGUAGCCAAGGAGGAAGCCCCGGCUAACUACGUGCCAGCAGCCGCGGUAAUACGUAGGGGGCGAGCGUUGUCCGGAUCUACUGGGCGUAAAGGGUGAGUAGGCGGUAAUAUGUGUCAGAUGUAAAAGGCUAUGGCUUAACCAUAGUUGGCAUUUGAAACUGUAUUACUUGAGUGCAGGAGAGGUAAGUGGAAUUCCUAGUGUAGCGGUGAAAUGCGUANAUAUUAGGAGGAACACCAGUGGCGAAGGCGACUUACUGGACUGUAACUGACGCUGANUCACNAAAGCGUGGGUAGCAAACAGGAUUANAUACCCUGGUANUCCACNCUGUAAAC